rnacentral:ribozyme from 1 species
UGCCAGUAACUCCUAUGCCUACCUUCUCGUGGUACUGGCCGGGGGGUACGAGUAACCUCAGGGAAGAUCGGGUAACCAACACUUUGGUCGUAUGCCGAUAGCAAAGG